UACGUAGGGGGCAAGCGUUGUCCGGAUUUAUUGGGCGUAAAGAGCUCGUAGGCGGCUCACUAAGUCGGAUGUUAAAACUCCAGGCUCAACCUGGAGACGCCAUUCGAUACUGGUGUGGCUUGAGCUCGGUAGGGGAGCACGGAAUUCCUGGUGUAGCGGUGAAAUGCGCAGAUAUCAGGAGGAACACCGGUGGCGAAGGCGGUGCUCUGAGCCGAAACUGACGCUGAGGAGCGAAAGCGUGGGGAGCGAACAGG
rnacentral:rRNA from 1 species